GGUUAAGUGACUAAGCGUACAUGGUGGAUGCCUUGGCAGUCAGAGGCGAUGAAGGACGUACUAACCUGCGAUAAGCUGUGAGAAGUCGGUAAGAGACGCUAUUACUCACAGAUUUCCGAAUGGGGAAACCCACCCGAGAUAACUCGGGUAUCUGUUACUGAAUACAUAGGUAACAGAGGCGAACCGGGAGAACUGAAACAUCUAAGUACCCCGAGGAAAAGAAAUCAACCGAGAUUCCCUCAGUAGCGGCGAGCGAACGGGGAUUAGCCCUUAAGCAUCUUGGAAGUUAGUGGAACGGUCCUGGAAAGGCCGGCGAUACAGGGUGAUAGCCCCGUAAACGAAAACAACCUUGAUGUGAAAUCGAGUAGGGCGGGACACGUGACAUCCUGUCUGAAUAUGGGGGGACCAUCCUCCAAGGCUAAAUACUCCUGACUGACCGAUAGUGAACCAGUACCGUGAGGGAAAGGCGAAAAGAACCCCUGUGAGGGGAGUGAAAUAGAACCUGAAACCGUGUACGUACAAGCAGUGGGAGCCCUUCGGGGUGACUGCGUACCUUUUGUAUAAUGGGUCAGCGACUUACAUUUUGUAGCGAGGUUAACCGUAUAGGGGAGCCGUAGGGAAACCGAGUCUUAACUGGGCGUCUAGUUGCAAGGUGUAGACCCGAAACCGGGUGAUCUAGCCAUGGGCAGGUUGAAGGUUGAGUAACAUCAACUGGAGGACCGAACCCACUAACGUUGCAAAGUUAGGGGAUGACCUGUGGCUGGGGGUGAAAGGCCAAUCAAACUCGGAGAUAGCUGGUUCUCCCCGAAAGCUAUUUAGGUAGCGCCUCGGACGAAUACUACUGGGGGUAGAGCACUGUUUGGGCUAGGGGGUCAUCCCGACUUACCAACCCCAUGCAAACUCCGAAUACCAGUAAGUAAUAUCCGGGAGACACACGGCGGGUGCUAACGUCCGUCGUGAAGAGGGAAACAACCCAGACCGCCGGCUAAGGUCCCAAAGUUCUGGUUAAGUGGGAAACGAUGUGGGAAGGCUCAGACAGCUAGGAUGUUGGCUUAGAAGCAGCCAUCAUUUAAAGAAAGCGUAAUAGCUCACUAGUCGAGUCGGCCUGCGCGGAAGAUGUAACGGGGCUCAAACCAGGCACCGAAGCCGCGGAUUCACACUUAUGUGUGAGUGGUAGGGGAGCGUUCUGUAAGUCUGCGAAGGUGUAUCGAGAGGUAUGCUGGAGAUAUCAGAAGUGCGAAUGCUGACGUAAGUAACGAUAAAGGGGGUGAAAAGCCUCCUCGCCGGAAGACCAAGGGUUCCUGUCCAACGUUAAUCGGGGCAGGGUGAGUCGACCCCUAAGGCGAGGCCGAAAGGCGUAGUCGAUGGGAAGCAGGUUAAUAUUCCUGCACGACUUGUAAUUGCGAUGGGGGACGAAGAAGGCUAGGUGGGCCAGGCGACGGUUGUCCUGGUGAAAGUGCGUAGGUGGUGUUUCUAGGCAAAUCCGGAGACACAACACUGAGACACGAGACGAACACACUACGGUGUGGAAGCCAUUGAUGCCCUGCUUCCAGGAAAAGCCUCUAAGCUUCAGAUUACAAGUCAUCGUACCCCAAACCGACACAGGUGGUCGGGUAGAGAAUACCAAGGCGCUUGAGAGAACUCGGGUGAAGGAACUAGGCAAAAUAGAACCGUAACUUCGGGAGAAGGUUCGCUCCUGACAGUGAAGUCCCUUGCGGAUGGAGCAGUUGGGAGUCGCAGUGACCAGAUGGCUGGGACUGUUUAUCAAAAACACAGCACUCUGCAAACACGAAAGUGGACGUAUAGGGUGUGACACCUGCCCGGUGCCGGAAGGUUAAUUGAUGGGUUAGCGCAAGCGAAGCUCUUGAUCGAAGCCCCGGUAAACGGCGGCCGUAACUAUAACGGUCCUAAGGUAGCGAAAUUCCUUGUCGGGUAAGUUCCGACCUGCACGAAUGGUGUAACCAUGGCCAUGCUGUCUCCACCCGAGACUCAGUGAAAUCGAAUUCGCCGUGAAGAUGCGGUGUACCCGCGGCUAGACGGAAAGACCCCGUGAACCUUUACUACAGCUUGGCACUGAACAUUGAACCUACAUGUGUAGGAUAGGUGGGAGGCUUUGAAGGCGUGACGCCAGUUGCGCUGGAGCCGUCCUUGAAAUACCACCCUUGUAUGUUUGAUGUUCUAACGCAGGGCCCUGAAUCGGGCUCGCGGACAGUGCCUGGUGGGUAGUUUGACUGGGGCGGUCUCCUCCCAAAGAGUAACGGAGGAGCACGAAGGUUGGCUAAUCCUGGUCGGACAUCAGGAGGUUAGUGCAAUGGCAUAAGCCAGCUUAACUGCGAGACGGACAGGUCGAGCAGGUACGAAAGUAGGUCAUAGUGAUCCGGUGGUUCUGAAUGGAAGGGCCAUCGCUCAACGGAUAAAAGGUACUCCGGGGAUAACAGGCUGAUACCGCCCAAGAGUUCAUAUCGACGGCGGUGUUUGGCACCUCGAUGUCGGCUCAUCACAUCCUGGGGCUGAAGUCGGUCCCAAGGGUAUGGCUGUUCGCCAUUUAAAGUGGUACGCGAGCUGGGUUCAGAACGUCGUGAGACAGUUCGGUCCCUAUCUGCCGUGGGCGUUGGAUGAUUGAAGGGAGUUGCUCCUAGUACGAGAGGACCGGAGUGAACGAACCUCUGGUGUUCGGGUUGUCACGCCAGUGGCACUGCCCGGUAGCUAAGUUCGGAAUCGAUAACCGCUGAAAGCAUCUAAGCGGGAAGCGAGCCCUGAGAUGAGUCAUCCCUGACCCCUUGAGGGUCCUAAAGGGCCGUUGGAGACCACAACGUUGAUAGGCGGGGUGUGUAAGUGCAGCGAUGCAUUGAGCUAACCCGUACUAAUUACCCGUGAGGCUUAACCAU
rnacentral:rRNA from 1 species